rnacentral:tRNA from 1 species
UUAAUUGAAGCCAAAGUAGAGGGGAGGCAUCUUAAUGUUAAUAAGAAAACUGAUUUUAAUCCAAUUAAA